rnacentral:rRNA from 1 species
GAUGAACGCUGGCGGCGUGCCUAAUACAUGCAAGUAGAACGCUGAAGGAGGAGCUUGCUCUUCUGGAUGAGUUGCGAACGGGUGAGUAACGCGUAGGUAACCUGCCUGGUAGCGGGGGAUAACUAUUGGAAACGAUAGCUAAUACCGCAUGACAACAGUUAUUGCAUGAUAACUGUUUAAAAGGGGCAACUGCUCCACUACCAGAUGGACCUGCGUUGUAUUAGCUAGUUGGUGAGGUAACGGCUCACCAAGGCGACGAUACAUAGCCGACCUGAGAGGGGGAUCGGCCACACUGGGACUGAGACACGGCCCAGACUCCUACGGGAGGCAGCAGUAGGGAAUCGUCGGCAAUGGACGGAAGUCUGACCGAGCAACGCCGCGUGAGUGAAGAAGGUUUUCGGAUCGUAAAGCUCUGUUGUAAGAGAAGAACGAGUGUGAGAGUGGAAAGUUCACACUGUGACGGUAUCUUACCAGAAAGAGACGGCUAACUACGUG